rnacentral:tRNA from 1 species
GGAGUCAUGCCUGAGCGGCCGAAAGGGGCACCCUGCUAAGGUGUUAACUGCGCAAGCGGUUCGAGGGUUCGAAUCCCUCUGACUCCGCGA